rnacentral:rRNA from 1 species
CUGACCUGCCCAAUGAGGAAUUCAAUGGCCGCAGUAUUUUAACUGUGCUAAGGUAGCAUAAUCAUUUGUCUUUUAAUUGAGGGCUGGAAUGAAAGGUUGGACGAGAUAUAGACUUUCUUUAAUUUAAUUUUAAGAAUUUAAUUUUUGAGUUAAAAAGCUUAAAUUUGUUUGUUGGACGAGAAGACCCUAUAGAUCUUUAUAAUUUUAUAUUUUAAUAAUUUGGUGGUUAUGUUUAUUAUAAGUAGAAUAAUUAUUUGGUUGGGGUGACUGUAGAAUUUUAUUAACUUCUAUUGUUUAGAUUUCAUUAAUUGGUGUUUUUUUGAUCCAUAUUUUUAUGAU